UCGCGACCCCAGGUCAGGCGGA
rnacentral:rRNA from 2 species